GUGCGCUAAAUCAUUCAAGUUUCUGCCCUAUCAGCUUUCGAUGGUAGUGUAUUGGACUACCAUGGCAGUCACGGGUAACGGGGAAUUAGGGUUCGAUUCCGGAGAGGGAGCCUGAGAAACGGCUACCACAUCUAAGGAAGGCAGCAGGCGCGUAAAUUACCCAAUCCUAAUUCAGGGAGGUAGUGACAAGAAAUAACAACUCGGAGUCUCACGACUUGCGAGAUUGCAAUGAGCACAAUUUAAAUCUCUUAGCAAGGAACAAUUGGAGGGCAAGUCUGGUGCCAGCAGCCGCGGUAAUUCCAGCUCCAAUAGCGUAUAUUAAAGUUGUUGCAGUUAAAAAGCUCGUAGUUGAACUUCUGGACGUUUGUGUAGUGGCUUCGGUCGGUGCACAGGCGUUCAUCCGUCUGAGAACCAUAUACGGCCUUUAGUGGUCGGUAUGGGGAUCAGGCACUUUACUUUGAAAAAAUUAGAGUGUUCCAGGCAGGCAAUCGCCUUGAAUACACAAGCAUGGAAUAAUGGAAUAGGACUAUGGUCCAUUUUGUUGGUUAUUGGACCUUAGUAAUGAUUAACAGGGACAGUUGGGGGCAUUAGUAUUUAAUUGUCAGAGGUGAAAUUCUUGGAUUUAUUAAAGACUAACUUAUGCGAAAGCAUUUGCCAAGGAUGUUUUCAUUAAUCAAGAACGAAAGUUAGGGGAUCAAAGACGAUCAGAUACCGUCCUAGUCUUAACCAUAAACUAUUCCGACUAGGGAUUGGUCGGGUCUUUCAAGCCCGAUCAGCACCUUAUGAGAAAUCAAAGUCUUUGGGUUCCGGGGGGAGUAUGGUCGCAAGGCUGAAACUUAAAGGAAUUGACGGAAGGGCACCACCAGGAGUGGAGCCUGCGGCUUAA
rnacentral:rRNA from 1 species